rnacentral:rRNA from 1 species
AACGCGAAGAACCUUACCAAGGCUUGACAUACACCGGAAACGGCCAGAGAUGGUCGCCCCCUUGUGGUCGGUGUACAGGUGGUGCAUGGCUGUCGUCAGCUCGUGUCGUGAGAUGUUGGGUUAAGUCCCGCAACGAGCGCAACCCUUGUUCUGUGUUGCCAGCAUGCCCUUCGGGGUGAUGGGGACUCACAGGAGACUGCCGGGGUCAACUCGGAGGAAGGUGGGGACGACGUCAAGUCAUCAUGCCCCUUAUGUCUUGGGCUGCACACGUGCUACAAUGGCAGGUACAAUGAGCUGCGAAGCCGUGAGGCGGAGCGAAUCUCAAAAAGCCUGUCUCAGUUCGGAUUGGGGUCUGCAACUCGACCCCAUGAAGUCGGAGUUGCUAGUAAUCGCAGAUCAGCAUUGCUGCGGUGAAUACGUUCCCGGGCCUUGUACACACCG